rnacentral:rRNA from 1 species
AUUGAACGCUGGCGGCAUGCCUAACACAUGCAAGUCGAGCGGAUGAAGGGAGCUUGCUCCUGGAUUCAGCUGCGGACGGGUGAGUAAUGCCUAGGAAUCUGCCUGGUAGUGGGGGAUAACGUCCGGAAACGGGCGCUAAUACCGCAUACGUCCUUAGGGAGAAAGUGGGGGAUCUUCGGACCUCACGCUAUCAGAUGAGCCUAGGUCGGAUUAGCUAGUUGGUGGGGUAAAGGCCUACCAAGGCGACGAUCCGUAACUGGUCUGAGAGGAUGAUCAGUCACACUGGAACUGAGACACGGUCCAGACUCCUACGGGAGGCAGCAGUGGGGAAUAUUGGACAAUGGGCGAAAGCCUGAUCCAGCCAUGCCGCGUGUGUGAAGAAGGUCUUCGGAUUGUAAAGCACUUUAAGUUGGGAGGAAGGGAAGUAAGUUAAUACCUUGAUGUUUUGACGUUACCAACAGAAUAAGCCCCGGCUAACUUCGUG